rnacentral:rRNA from 1 species
UCGGGAAUUUUGGGCAAUGGGCGAAAGCCUGACCCAGCAACGCCGCGUGAAGGAUGAAGUAUUUCGGUAUGUAAACUUCGAAAGAAUAGGAAGAAUAAAUGACGGUACUAUUUAUAAGGUCCGGCUAACUACGUGCCAGCAGCCGCGGUAAUACGUAGGGACCAAGCGUUGUUCGGAUUUACUGGGCGUAAAGGGCGCGUAGGCGGCAUGACAAGUCACUUGUGAAAUCUCUGGGCUUAACCCAGAACGGCCAAGUGAUACUGUCGCGCUAGAGUGCAGAAGGGGCAAUCGGAAUUCUUGGUGUAGCGGUGAAAUGCGUAGAUAUCAAGAGGAACACCUGAGGUGAAGACGGGUUGCUGGGCUGACACUGACGCUGAGGCGCGAAAGCCAGGGGAGCAAACGGGAUUAGAUACCCCGGUAGUCCCUGAGCGGGCUGGCAAGGCGCAU